rnacentral:misc_RNA from 1 species
GAUGAAGAACGCAGCGAAAUGCGAUAAGUAAUGUGAAUUGCAGAUUUCAGUGAAUCAUCGAAUCUUUGAACGCACAUUGCGCCCGCCAGUAUUCUGGCGGGCAUGCCUGUUCGAGCGUCAUUACAACCCUCAGGCCCCCGGGCCUGGCGUUGGGGAUCGGCGGAGCCCCCCGUGGGCACACGCCGUCCCCCAAAUACAGUGGCGGUCCCGCCGCAGCUUCCAUCGCGUAGUAGCUAACACCUCGCGACUGGAGAGCGGCGCGGCCACGCCGUAAAACACCCAACUCUUCUGAAGUUGACCUCGAAUCAGGUAGGAAUACCCGCUGAACUUAAGCAUAUCAAUAAGCGGAGGA